rnacentral:rRNA from 1 species
AGCGAACGCUGGCGGCAGGCCUAACACAUGCAAGUCGAACGGAUCCUUCGGGAUUAGUGGCGGACGGGUGAGUAACACGUGGGAACGUGCCCUUUGGUUCGGGACAACUCAGGGAAACUUGAGCUAAUACCGGAUGUGCCCUUCGGGGGAAAGAUUUAUCGCCAUUGGAGCGGCCCGCGUCUGAUUAGCUAGUUGGUGAGGUAAAGGCUCACCAGGGCGACGACCAGUAGCUGGUCUGAGAGGAUGAUCAGCCACAUUGGGACUGAGACACGGUCCAAACUCCUACGGGAGGCAGCAGUGGGGAAUCUUGCGCAAUGGGCGAAAGCCUGACGCAGCCAUGCCGCGUGAAUGAUGAAGGUCUUAGGAUUGUAAAAUUCUUUCACCGGGGACGAUAAUGACGGUACCCGGAGAAGAAGCCCCGGCUAACUUCGUGCCAGCCGCCGCCGUAA